rnacentral:rRNA from 1 species
AAUCAACGCUGGCGGCGUGCCUAACACAUGCAAGUCGAACGCGAAAGGGGACUUCGGUUCCUGAGUAGAGUGGCGUACGGGUGAGUAACGCGUGGGUCAUCUGCCCUCGGGUGGGGAAUAACUAAUCGAAAGGUUAGCUAAUACCGCAUAACACAGUGAUGUCAAAGCAGCAAUGUGCCUGAGGAGGAGCCUGCGUCUGAUUAGGUAGUUGGUGGGGUAACGGCCUACCAAGCCUGCGAUCAGUAGCUGGUCUGAGAGGACGGCCAGCCACACUGGCACUGACACACGGGCCAGACUCCUACGGGAGGCAGCAGUGGGGAAUUUUGGGCAAUGGGCGAAAGCCUGACCCAGCAACGCCGCGUGAGGGAGGAAAUCCUUCGGGAUGUAAACCUCACAAGCAAGGGAAGAGAGCUCAGGGCCGAAUAAGCUUUGAGUCCGACGGUACCUUGCGUAAGCCACGGCUAACUACGUGCCAGCAGCCGCUGUAAU